rnacentral:RNase_P_RNA from 1 species
CACGACAGAUGGUCGCUGGCAAAUCACGGCUUGGCGCCGCUGAUUUGCUAGAGGAAAGUCCGGACUCGGCUGUUCCGGUUUUCCGGGACAGAAAGUUGGUGCCCGUCGCAAGGCGGGGCGGAGCGAUCCGACGGAGGCGAAAGGGUACCCUCUGGGGCCUGAGUAGCUAUAAAAGGGCCAUAGAGACGAGCUUGCCCGGCAACGGGCAAGGUGGAACGAGGUAACCCCCUCCACCGAGCAACCCAAAUUAUGGUAGGGGCAGCCAGCAAUGGCCGGUGAGCCGUAAGGCGAGCCGAGAGAGAUGACCAUCCUCGACAGAAUCCGGCUUACCGUC